rnacentral:tRNA from 5 species
GCGCGCUUAGCUCAGGGGUAGAGCGACUCGUUGACGUCGAGUAGGCCGUAGGUUCAAAUCCUACAGCGCGCA